GAGUUUGAUCCUGGCUCAGAUUGAACGCUGGCGGCAUGCUUUACACAUGCAAGUCGAACGGCAGCAUGACCUAGCUUGCUAGGUUGAUGGCGAGUGGCGAACGGGUGAGUAAUGCAUCGGAACGUGUCCAUUAAUGGGGGAUAACGCAGCGAAAGCUGUGCUAAUACCGCAUACGCCCUGAGGGGGAAAGCGGGGGAUCUUCGGACCUCGCGUUAAUGGAGCGGCCGAUGUCAGAUUAGCUAGUUGGUGGGGUAAAGGCCUACCAAGGCGACGAUCUGUAGCUGGUCUGAGAGGAUGAUCAGCCACACUGGGACUGAGACACGGCCCAGACUCCUACGGGAGGCAGCAGUGGGGAAUUUUGGACAAUGGGGGCAACCCUGAUCCAGCCAUGCCGCGUGAGUGAAGAAGGCCUUCGGGUUGUAAAGCUCUUUCGCAAGGGAAGAAAACUUAGCCAAUAACACUGGCUGAGGCUGACGGUACCUUGAUAAGAAGCACCGGCUAACUACGUGCCAGCAGCCGUGGUAAUACGUAGGGUGCGAGCGUUAAUCGGAAUUACUGGGCGUAAAGCGUGCGCAGGCGGUUUGACAAGUCUGAUGUGAAAGCCCCGGGCUCAACCUGGGAACUGCGUUGGAAACUGUCAGGCUAGAGUGUGUCAGAGGGAGGUAGAAUUCCACGUGUAGCAGUGAAAUGCGUAGAGAUGUGGAGGAAUACCGAU
rnacentral:rRNA from 1 species